GAUGAACGCUGGCGGCGUGCCUAAUACAUGCAAGUCGAACGAAACUUCUUUAUCACCGAGUGCUUGCACUCACCGAUAAAGAGUUGAGUGGCGAACGGGUGAGUAACACGUGGGCAACCUGCCCAAAAGAGGGGGAUAACACUUGGAAACAGGUGCUAAUACCGCAUAACCAUAGUUACCGCAUGGUAAAUAUGUAAAAGGUGGCUAUACUACCGCUUUUGGAUGGGCCCGCGGCGCAUUAGCUAGUUGGUAGGGUAAAGGCUUACCAAGGCAAUGAUGCGUAGCCGAAUUGAGAGGUUGAUCGGCCACAUUGGGACUGAGACACGGCCCAAACUCCUACGGGAGGCAGCAGUAGGGAAUCUUCCACAAUGGGCGAAAGCCUGAUGGAGCAACGCCGCGUGGGUGAAGAAGGUCUUCGGAUCGUAAAACCCUGUUGUUAGAGAAGAAAGUGCGUGAGAGUAACUGUUCACGUUUCGACGGUAUCUAACCAGAAAGCCACGGCUAACUACGUG
rnacentral:rRNA from 1 species